UUAUUAGAUUAUAAUGACUACGUUUGUUACUUUAAUGUUUGUCUAAAAUGGGCAGGCGCUCUAAUCACUUUUGUUUUCAAGACAGCCUUACAGUUCACAGAUGUUAUGGAUACGAUUUGAUGCUAGGGACUCCGAAGAGGUCCGCUAACAUAUUCAAUUCACUAAUGAUCCUUCCGCAGGUUCACCUACGGAAA
rnacentral:misc_RNA from 1 species